GAUAAGGGGUGGACUGUGAUGGUUGGGUCCACAUGUCAACUUAGCCAGGGCUUCUGGAUUUUAUAUAUAUAUAUCUCAGUUAAUAUAUAUUAUAUAUAUAUAUAUAUCUCAGUUAAUCGUUACCAUAAACCUUUGAGAGAAGCACUAUCAUUUUCACAUUUUACAGAUUAUGAAAUCAAACACAGAAAGGUUAAGUAAUUUGUCUAAGAUCACCAAAUAAUAAGGGGUGGAGCUAAAAAUCAAACCCAGAGCCUGUUCUCUAAAGCACUAUCUCUCUAUAACAAAGAAAUGAAAAGCUUGGGCUUAUGUGACCUUUAAGAGCUCAGCCUAAUAGAAGGCAGCCCAGGCGUGUGGGAAAAGGAUUUGGAAUUGGGAGGCUUGUGGUCAAGUCCCAGGCCUUCCCCUCCAGCAGGACAAUUACAUCUCUGAGCCUCACCUGAAAAUGGGGGUGGUCAUGGUGACCACCCCAAAGCAUUGUGAAGAAUCUAAUGAAAUGCAAAACUUUUUGUUGUUGUUUAAGGCACUAUUCAAGUAAUAAUAACUAUGAUUACAGUUGGUUGAAGAGAUAAAAUUAACUCACAUGAAAUAACUUAGUUUAAUUCUACCCCUUAUUAUUGCAGGACCUUUGGCAAAUAAGCCAAAAUAAGGAUGUUUGAGAAGGUGAUUCUAGGAAUGUCAAGGAAGCAGAGACCAGGACAGAUGGAAAGUCAGGGAAGUUCCUGGGAGAAGUGGGACUUAAUCCAUUACCAACAUUCGGAGAGGGAGAGAGGGCAAUCCAGGAGGGAGACAGCACAGAGUUUAGUGGUUAGGAACUCAGACAACGGACUGGGUUUCUCCUCCAGCUGCCCACUUAUUACACUGGUUCAUCCAUGAGACGGAAAACUACAGCGGCUCCCAGGGAAUGGAUGCAAAGAGCUCUGCACAAUACAACACCUACGAAAUAUGUGCCACUAUUCCUGAUCUACAAAUGAGAAAGCCAAGGCUCCGAGAGGUCCAAUGUUUCCCAAACCAUUAAAGGGCUCAUCUUCAAACUGAGGAGAAAGUCUGAAGAACUUGUUUCCCCAAGAGACGGUACAGGCUGAGACUGUGGAGAAUGAGAGUGCUGAUGUGCCACAGUUUGGGAAGACCAGGAGUGGUUGGAAGCACCCAAACUUUCAGAAGGGUGUUCAUGCCCCAUCCCCACCACAGAGCAUCCCACAGUGCCUCUGUCAGGGCAAGAAGUGAAGGCAAGUUAAGCAUGGAGACUCUUUCCCCACCCAAGGAAAUUUCCCACCCCAUCCUGAUGCUGGGCAGAAAGCAGGAAAGAUCAUCCAAGAUGGAGGCAGAAGGGAAUUGGACAUGGAGAAUGGGACUGGGAAUAGAAACGCCACAGAUAAUCAAGAAACAUGAAUAGCACCAGAUCCAUUUUGUCUCAAAGCCUAAAACAGGAAACAGUUCAUGUAGCUUCAUUUACCCUGGGUUUUGGAUAUUACCUGCUUUAAGAAGGUUUCAACAUACAAGUGAGGCGAGACAACCUCAGGCUCUUCCACUGCUGCCUUGAGAACAGGAUGCAGGUUCCCGAAGACAACCUCCAGCAUAAUCAGCAUGAAAGAAAGUUACUCAAGACCAAGACUCCAGAAGCCAGGGGGCUUGAGUGGUCAAGCACCAACCUGAAGGUUUGUCCCGUGUUGGGCGACUCACCUGGUCAGAGGCGUAGGCAAUAAGUCGGGCGUUCAGGGAGGACUCGUCAGCAUCGGGCUCAGAUGUCUUCAUCUCCAGGAUUUUGUUCUUCCUUGCUGCCAGCAAGGCUACCAAGGUUGACUCACUGACCGUGCUCUGUCAUGGAAGAAGGAUUACCAAUGGCGGCCUCUUUCUGUUCACUCUUGGCAAAUUCCCCCAGGUUUCACAGUUUCGUGUGUGUGUGUGUGUGUGUGUGUGUGUGUGUGUGUGUGUGUGUGUGUGUGUGUUUACAGCUAUUCUUAAGCAAGUACACAGCCCCUACCUGAGGGUUGUCCUUCCUCCCCAGCACACAUACCUGUUCUGCAUCCCCCAGGCCACCUAAUUUUCCAGGGAAGUGAAGAAAGCAAAAAGUUACCUAAUGCCCAACAUCUCUAAUACAGAGGCCACAGAGGCCACAGAGACCAACAAAGAUA